AUUGAACGCUGGCGGCAGGCCUAACACAUGCAAGUCGAGCGAGCGGCGGACGGGUGAGUAAUGUCUGGGAAACUGCCUGAUGGAGGGGGAUAACUACUGGAAACGGUAGCUAAUACCGCAUACCAUCAGAUGUGCCCAGAUGGGAUUAGCUAGUAGGUGGGGUAACGGCUCACCUAGGCGACGAUCCCUAGCUGGUCUGAGAGGAUGACCAGCAACACUGGAAAUGAGACACGGACCAGACACCUACGGGAGGUAGCAGGGGGGAAUUUUGGACAAUGGGCGAAAGCCUGAUCCAGCCAUGCCGCGUGUCUGAAGAAGGCCUUCGGGUUGUAAAGGACUUUUGGCAGGGAAGCGGUACCUGAAGAAUAAGCACCGGCUAACUACGUGCCAGCAGCCGCGGUAAUAC
rnacentral:rRNA from 1 species